GAUGAAGAACGUAGCGAAAUGCGAUAAGUAAUGCGAAUUGCAGAAUUUCCUUGAGUCAUCGAAUCUUUGAACGCACAUUGCGCCCACUGGUAUUCCGGUGGGCAUGCCUGUUCGAGCGUCAUUAUCCUCCCUCAAACCCCGGGUUUGGUGUUGGACCCAAGUUGUGUGAACAACUGGUCUCAAAGACAAUGACGGCGUCCGUGGGACCCUCGGUGCAACGAGCUUUUAGGAGCACGCAUCGAGUUGCAAGGACCUUCCGGGCCGGUCUCCUUUACCAUUUUACAAGGUUGACCUCGGAUCAGGUAGGAAUACCCGCUGAACUUAAGCAUAUCAAUAAGCGGAGGA
rnacentral:misc_RNA from 1 species